GCCUUUGUAGUGUAGUGGUCAGCAUGCUCGACUUUUAUUCGAGAGGUCCGUGGUUCGAUUCAAGGCGAAGGCG